rnacentral:lncRNA from 1 species
GUAAACACAGUUCCCAGGCUCCCCAGAGGUGAACUGGCCCAGGAGGAGGCAAAGCCUCUGCCCUGGCUAAGGUACCCUCUCUCUCAAAGCAAGCUUCUCUACCAUCCCAGAAAACCCCUGCUGCCACCAUCUCCUCCCAUCCUUCCCUCCUUGGGGAAAGUGGGUGGUUACGGUGGAAGAUUAAAGAAGUGGAAAGUCCUCUAUCUUCAGCAGGAGCCCUAGUGUGACCAGCCACUGGAAGCUCCUGCCACCACAGCCACACCCACUCUCGCUUCGGGCCUUCCCUAAGAGUGAGUCCAGAUAAACUCCCUUCUAACCACUUGACUUUGGAGCAGAAAAACACCACCCGGUUUGAAGCAGGUAAAAGACUG